AGAAUUGACGGGGAGCACCACAACGGGUGGAGCUUGCGGUUUAAUUGGAUUCAACGCCGGAAAUCUUUACCGGGACCGACAGCAAUAUGAAGGCCAGGCUGAAGACUUUGCCGGAUUAGCUGAGAGGUGGUGCAUGGCCGUCGUCAGUUCGUACUGUGAAGCAUCCUGUUAAGUCAGGCAACGAGCGAGACCCACGCCAACAGUUGCCAGCAUGUCCUCCGGGACGAUGGGGACACUGUUGGGACCGCCUCUGCUAAAGAGGAGGAAGGAAUGGGCAACGGUAGGUCAGCAUGCCCCGAAUUAUCCGGGCUACACGCGGGCUACAAUGGUCAGGACAAUGGGUAUCGACACCGAGAGGUGGAGGCAAUCUCCUAAACCUGUCCUUAGUUCGGAUUGUGGGCUGCAACUCGCCCACAUGGAGCUGGAAUCCGUAGUAAUCGCGUUUCAAAAUAGCGCGGUGAAUAUGUCCCUGCUCCUU
rnacentral:rRNA from 1 species